rnacentral:rRNA from 1 species
AGUCAUAUGCUUGUCUCAAAGAUUAAGCCAUGCAUGUCUCAGUACAAGCCAAAUUAAGGUGAAACCGCGAAAGGCUCAUUAAAUCAGUUAUGGUUCCUUAGAUCGUACCCACACUUACUUGGAUAACUGUGGUAAUUCUAGAGCUAAUACAUGCAAACAGAGCUCUGACCGGAGACGGAAGGAGCGCUUUUAUUAGAUCAAAACCAAUCGGCGGCAGGCUUGCUUGUCGUCGUUCAACCUGGUGAAUCUGAAUAACUUUGUGCUGAUCGCACGGUCUAGCACCGGCGACGCAUCUUUCAAAUGUCUGCCUUAUCAACUGUCGAUGGUAGGUUCUGCGCCUACCAUGGUUGUAACGGGUAACGGGGAAUCAGGGUUCGAUUCCGGAGAGGGAGCCUGAGAAACGGCUACCACAUCCAAGGAAGGCAGCAGGCGCGCAAAUUACCCACUCCCGGCACGGGGAGGUAGUGACGAAAAAUAACGAUACGGGACUCAUCCGAGGCCCCGUAAUCGGAAUGAGUACACUCUAAAUCCUUUAACGAGGAUCAAUUGGAGGGCAAGUCUGGUGCCAGCAGCCGCGGUAAUUCCAGCUCCAAUAGCGUAU